UGAAAGAAAGAUCAGGAAAUUUGGAAUCAGUUUGGUAUCCAAAACAAAUACACUAUCAGACAAAAGCCACAAGACUGAAUGAUGGUUAUGGUAAUCAAUACUUAGUUGGAAUAAUCCUUGAAGGAGUACCUUAAAUGUGGAUACUUGUUAAUUUAAGAUUGCUGGUGGGAGCAAGAUGGUUUCUGAGGACAUUUUCUCUUGACACUCAAUACAGCUAUACAUUUGUAGAUACUUACUGACAAAAUGUUUAGUUUUUUGUGGUACUUAAAAAAGUUUGUUAAACAAUCAAGCUUAUUUGCUUAUACAGUUGUAUGGAAGACAUUGAAACAUAAUAUAUACAAAACCAAAGGAGAAAUGAAAUUGCAAACUAUCGUAGGGUAGACUUGAAUUGUAUAAUUGCCGCUGCUGUGCUUUGCCCUUCUGGCCUUAUCGUCUUUCUUUUAAUCUUUUAUGUACUGCUGUUUCCGUAUGGGUCAUAACAUGAACUUUGUAAAUUUAUCAUGGUGAACGAUUUAUUUUUAUGUUUUACUCUUCCUCCAUGCAACUUUGAAAUUAAAUCAUCUAUACUGUGAUACCAAUACUUGAUAAUGGAAUUGUAGUUAUUUGUGGUAAGAGUGGAAAGAAAAGGAAAAGGACUUCCACAACCUGCGGUUCCUCUCACUGGAGCUGCCUUAACAGGAAACACAUAAGAUUGUGGCCUGUUUUUGCUUUACUACCUAGAGUUGUUCCUGGAAGAAGCCCUGCUAUCUUCAACCCAUUCCGCAUAAAUAAGUUCUCCACCUUUGAUAUGGCUACUCAUUCAGCCUGUGAUUUUGGUGGCCUUAAAGCUGAGAAACUAGCUCUUGCAAAAUGUCGACAAAUACCUUGAAACACCGGGGGCCCUCUAGUCAAAUCCCUUAAUAAGCUGACUGAUGGAAUGAAUUGAAGAGGAGCGGCUAUGCGUUUCUAUCAAACUUGUGUUCUUGCUACUUGUAAUUUUGUAAAAGUUGAACAAAAUGCCCCGUACGAGGAUCUUCUCAUUACUAGAGGACCAAAUAUGUGAUAGAGAACUCAGCUAGAAUGAGGACACACUGAUGCUAGUUAAUGAAGACAGUUGACGUACAUUGCUCCUUUGUGGUGGCUGAUGCUAGUUUAUGUCUAA